rnacentral:lncRNA from 1 species
AUAUUUGGACAACAAUCAUUUCAGUGGGAAGAUUAAAGAUGGAUUGUUAAGGUCCACUGAAUUAAUGGUCUUAGAUAUAUCCAACAACCGCUUGUCUGGUCAUAUUCCUUCUUGGAUGGGCAAUUUCUCAUAUCUUCAAAUUCUGUCAAUGUCCAAAAAUCUUUUGGAAGGUAAUAUUCCAGUCCAAUUCAACGAUCUUCUAGAUCUUGAAAUUCUGAAUAUCUCCGAAAAUAAUUUGUCCGGAUCCAUGAUAUCUACCCUGAAUCUUUCAUCAGUGGAGCACCUUUAUUUGCAAAAUAAUGCUCUUGGUGGGUCAAUUCCAAAUACAUUUUUCAGAGGCUCUGCAUUGGAGACUUUAGAUUUGAGGGAUAAUAACUUUUCUGGUAGAAUUCCACAUCAGAUCAAUGAGCAUUCAAAUCUGCGUGCUCUUCUUUUGAGAGCGAAUUAUCUACAAGGACCUAUUCCUCAUCAAUUGUGUCGAUUGCGAAAAUUAGGUAUCAUGGAUCUCUCACACAACAGACUUUAUGGUUCAAUUCCUGCAUGUAUUACUAAUUCGUUGUUUUGGAAGGUAGGAAAUGAAUCUUUGUAUCAAUUAGAUGAGGAAGGUGCGGAUGUAGGCAAUGUAGACAUCCGUGAUUACUAUAAUUCUACUGUUCAACUGCGGCUGGAUGAAAGUGAUCUUAGAUGGUUAGUUAAACAAGUAGAGGUGAAUUUUAUGACAAAGAACAGAUAUGAAUCUUACAAGGGUGUCAUUCUUGAGCACAUGGCAGGACUAGAUUUGUCGAGCAACGAGUUAACAGGUAACAUUCCAUCAGAAAUUGGUGACCUUCAAAAUAUUCAUGGAUUGAAUUUAUCUUAUAAUUUCUUGUCGGGCUCUAUACCUGAGAGCUUUUCCAAUCUAAAAAUGAUAGAGAGCCUAGACCUUUCCCACAACAAAUUAAAUGGUCAAAUUCCUCCUCAGUUGACCGAACUUCACAGUUUAUCUAAAUUCGAUGUGUCAUACAACAAUUUGUCCGGCCCAAUCCCAGACAAAGAGCAAUUUUCCACUUUUGAUGAAAGCAGCUACAGAGGAAAUCUCCAUCUUUGCGGUCCACCAAUUAACAAGAGCUGCACCAAUCUCCCAAAGUUGCUAGAACCAUCAUCCAAAGGAGCAGAAGAUGAAUCUGCGGUUGAUAUGGUGGCAUUCUAUUGGAGUUUUGUUGCGUCCUACGUCACACUGAUGUUGGGGUUACUCGCGAUCCUUUGGAUAAACCCAUAUUGGCGCAGACUAUGGUUUUAUUUCAUUGAAGAAUGUAUUGAUUUAUGUUACUAUUGGCUUUCCAAAUACGUAUUCUAUUGGCGAUCGUAGAGCACGAUUAUAAUAGAAAGAAUAAGGAUGUGCCACUUGUUUUCUAAUACUACUAAUUCUAUUGUUCUCUAAUUCUACUAAUUCUAUUGGCUUUUCUGCAAUCUGGUAUAUGUUUUUUCAGAAACUAGAUUCAAGGUAUCCACUUACCUUUCGUCUGAUUUUCUCGUGAUUCAAAUGAACAACUUCCCAUAGCUUUUAAGCCUUGCAAGUUCUUUACAAUUUAUCAGAAUUCGAGAGAUCCUUCUAAUCAAAUUGCAGAAGAAUUAAAUUACCUUUCGAAUAAAUCAGCUUAGAGCAUGAGGAGACUAACAAAAGCCAAUUUUUAUCUAUACAAAAGCAAUUAGGAGAAGACAACAUUUAUUAAUUAUAACGUUAUUCACCUGAAAUACAAUUAUAAUUUAUGUCUGUAAUUCACAAGAAUCUACACAAAAAAAAAAAAGAAAAACAUGAAAGAUGUAAAGACUGAUAAAGAGAAGGAGAAAAGGGAAAACAACGGAUGGUUGAUGAAAACCACAGAGACAUCAUUCAAAGAGAGAGAUCGGCCAAGUUGAAAGUUCUUUCAACAGCUCUGCACCACGAUUCUGCCUUCUUCUUCCUGAAUUCCUCGUUUAAGACGGGCUUGAAAGUGGUUGAAGUCUUAGUCCUUUCUCCAGAAGCAAAAAUCUCUUCUUCAUUGAAAACCCCAAUUGCUAAUCCAGCUGCAAAGGCAGCUCCAAGAGCUGUUGUCUCUAUGUCAGCUGGUCUGAUGACUGGGCUUCCCAACAAAUCCGCCUGUAAAUCAUGAUAAGAACAGUUUUAUAUGACCUUCCAGAGCAGAAAGAUAAUAAAGUAUCAACACUAGAUUCCAGAAAAUGGAAAAGAGUGUGAUGUCUGGAUAUAGCUCAGAUUCUUCAAAAUGACCAUUAUUUUCGUGAGAGCUAAUAGCUAAUUAAGUGGAUGCUAAUUAAGACACCCACAGUACAACAAAGAAGUUGUAGAAAAAAGGAGAACAUGCCCGGCUAUCUUACAAAUCAACAUAAAAUGUCGGGAAACAGUUGUGAAAUUUUAAUGCAGAAACAGUAUGAAACACAAACUUUCCCUUUUUUUUUAUUUUUCUUUCUUUUUUCCACCCCCAAAGUAAGACCUUUUGAAAGCAUUUGAAUCUAAACAUUGCUUUAGCUUCUGAUUAGCAAGCAGCCAGCUAAAAGUUUAUUUGGAAAACAUCUCUUACGAAUGUACUACACAAUCAUGCAGAAGUGUUAAAUAAACAUUUCUAGAGCCCUAGAAAGACCAACUAACUGACCUGCAUUCAAAGACGAGAAGCUCAAAAAUGGGAAAUCAUAAUAUUUUUCAAAAGAAAGCAGAGUAGCUAAAUUUGCAUCAAUAGCUGCAAAACUAUAAAUAAUAAGAAGAAACAAUACCAAAAACAGGAUAGAUACUUCAGGAAAAAAGAAACAGCAGAAAGAUUAAUGAGAAAAUUGGAAAUUGUUAUCAGUCAAGCAUAUGAAUGAAAAGCUGUGUAGAACUGCAACAGAGCACUAAAAUAAGUGAGAAGUGCAAACCUGAAUCUGCAUUAAGAGGUUGUUAACCGUAGCACCUCCAUCCACUCUAAGCAAGAACUCCGACUUUGCAUCCUUUAUGACACCCUUCUCCACUGCAUCCUUUUGCAUUGAAUCCAAGACAUCCUUCACUUGAAAACACAUGCUCUCAAGCACAGCUCGAGCAAUGUGUGCUUGUGAACCUAGUAAUCCCGAUGCAAACGCCACGAGCGCCAUCACGCCACCAUGGAGCAAAUAAUCCAUUGAAAGCAGGUACAAGGUAAACCCCGCCUGUUGAGUUGACCUGCGACGCCAAUUCCUCGAUCUCACCUGCACUGCUAAUUAUGCCCAGACUGUCUCUGAGCCACUGGACUGCAGCUCCAGCGAUGGCAAUUGAACCCUCUAGAGCAUAGUUAGUCGGUGCUUUAGGACCAAGCUUAAAGGCUAAAGUGCUCAAAAGACCAUGCUUUGACUUAACUACCUCUUCACCUGUGUUCAUAAGUAUAAAAGCACCAGUACCAUAGGUGCUUUUAGCCUCACCUUUUUUACAAGCUUGUCCUAACAUAGCCGCAUGCUGGUCUCCAAGACAUCCUGAAAUUGGUAUUCCAGUAAUUGGCCACCCUUUGCCAAUUUUUCCAAUAAUCUCAGAAUUACUGACAAUUCUGGGAAGAAUUUCAGCCGGUAUCCCUAGUGUUUCUAGUGUAGGUUUAUCCCAAUCAAGAGUUUUCAGAUUCAUGAGCAUCGUUCGUGAUGCAUUAGCGACAUCAAUGACGUGCAAACCACCGUUAACUCCACCAGUUAAAUUCUAUAUUAGCCAGUGUCUAUAGUUCCAAACAGGGCAUCCCCUUUCUUAAUAGCCUCUUUAACAGCAUCCACAAUUUCCAUCAUCCAUAGCAGUUUCACCGCACUGAAAUAAGUGCUGAUAGGCAAACCAACCGCCUCCAGAAAAUGGGUUUUCCCACCAGGUAAUUCCUUCUCCAUUUUCCUAAAAAUGAGACCACUUUCAAACAUCAAAGGUAGAAAUUCCAAAAAUCAAGAAAUGGCCAGAAUUGCAAAAUCUGAAUCAUGGUCAUUAGAUGACACCCUAAGCCUACUCAUGUAUCAAAACCAAUAAUCAAAAGGCCCUAGAUCCUCAAUCGUUGAAACAAUGACAAUAAACGAACAAAGAAAAAUAACAGGAAAAGGACAGGCCGGUCACCUGCAAACGGAACUGGUACGAGCAUCCAUCCAAACAAUAGCAUUAUAGAGGGGACAACCAGUAGAUUUGCUCCAAAGAACAGUUGUCUCCCUCUGAUUGGUCAAACCAAUCGCCUUCAAUCCACUGUCCACAUUGUGGCCAUCAGCUGUAGCCUUGUCCAAAGCCUUAGCCAUACACACCCUCACACUCUCACACUCACCAGUAUCUCCAUCGGCUCAUGCUCGACCCAUCUAAACAGAUUUUUCAAAAAAGAGAAGUUCAGUUUAACAAACCCAUCAUUGGAUUUAACAUCAUUACAUUAAAAAAUACAUUAGUCACGCAAUUCUUUACACAUGCUUUUAAAGCCAAUUAUUUACUGUAGUUUAAAAAUUAAUUUUUAUAAUAAAAAAUUUAUUAUAUGUUUAUUAAUUUUAUUAAAAUUAUUAUUUAAAAAUUAUAUUNNNNNNNNNNNNNNNNNNNNNNNNNNNNNNNNNNNNNNNNNNNNNNNNNNNNNNNNNNNNNNNNNNNNNNNNNNNNNNNNNNNNNNNNNNNNNNNNNNNNACCGUACAUCCGCCUUGGCCGUACAGCAGAUGUUUAUUAAUUUUAUCAAAAUUAUUAUUUAAAAAUAUAUUUAAUAUAUAUUAUGAAAUAUAAAAAAAUUAUUUUAUAAUUAUAAUUUUUUUCACAGCAAUUGUAUUUAAAAUGUAUAGUAUCUCAAUUCUAAACAACGCUUAUGUUUCAAAUCCAUUCAAUGUAUUUAUGUUGAGCAUAUUAAUUUCUAGAUUACUAUUUAAACAAAUUUACAAGUUAAUUGGCAUUUGUUGGUUUUAGAUGCAUUAGUUUUGUUUUGACUUUUAUCUUAUUUUACUUUUUUUUUUUAUAUCAACAAUUGCACGUUCAUUGUUCUUAAUAGUGAAUAAGUAAAACAUUAUUUGAACUUUCAAUCACACAUUUGAUUAAAAAAUCGAUGAUAGUUACACACUUUUAUAAGAUUAUCAUCGUAAUCCUCUUUUCCAUCAUCAUUCCUCUUUUCUUGUUUUCUAAUUUAAUUAUUUUAUAAAUAUUAAUCUUACGAACGCAGCUAAAUUAUUUUUCAAUGUGUACAAUGCCCGUCAAUGAAUUCACUGCCGCACGAUCGUAGUCGAAAUUAUCGCGAUUCAUACGAUCGUAGUCGAGCCAGUGGUCGGUUGAGCAUAGUUUAAAAAUUUGUGCCAAUAAAGAGGAUUAGAAGUUUUUAAAAGAGAACAAAAAUAUAGGUUCAGCUUAGCUGCGUAGGCUAAAAUACAUUCUCUCUAAUGGGCUGGAGGCCCAAGCCCAAUUGCAUUAACCACUAACCGAAUGAAGUUGGUUCCUUUCAACACUGAACCUGCCAGCCUAGUCACUAGAAAUAGAGCAACGUUAGUUAUACCACGUCUAAGUCAUAAUCAUCCAUUAGAUGGCAGUUUAUUUAUACAAUCUAGAAAAUUUAUUAUUUAAUAAUUGAAUAACAUAAAAUAUUGGGACUUACUUUCAGAACCCAAAUGUUGGGUCUCUAACAUUUAUUUUUAAAUAAUGAUACAAUCAAAGUAAAUUUAUGGCGAAAUUAACGUAAAUAAUUGCAAAUUAAAAAUUUUACAGGAUUUCCUUAUUAGGGGAACUAAGGUUACUAAGAGCAUCUCCAAAAGACUAUUUAAAUUUUACUCUUCAAUUUUUAAUUUGCUUACUGAUGUGGCAAAUAAGUGGGUAGAAAAAUAUAAUUUCCUCCAAAAGACUCAUCAAAUAAGAGCAAGUUAAUAUUAUUUUAAUCAAUUCUUUCCCUCUAUCAAAUUUAACUACCCUCCAUUUUUUUUCCCUCCAACAAAUUUAAUUAACCUCCAAUUAUUCACUCUAAUUAUUUUAAUUACCCUCCAAUUUUUUUCACUCCAACAAAUUUAAUUACCCUCUAUUUUUUCCCUCUAAAAAAUUUAUUCAACCUCUAAUUUUUUGAAAGUACUUUUAACUCUUUAUGAAAUAGAUUUUUGUGAAUGGACUUCUCAACCUUCCUUCCGCCAGUUAACUAUUUUUUUUUCCCAUUGUUUUCCUUCAUGGCCAGCAACUUUAAGAUAAAGAUGUUGUCAGAUUCAUCAUACUUUUAACUCUUUAUACUUUAAACUCUUUAUGAAAUAGACUUUUGUGAAUGGACUUGUUCAACCUUCCGCCUGUUAACUAAUUUUUUUUCCUCAUUGUGUUUCCUUCAUGGCUAGCAACUUUAAGAUAAAGAUGCUGUCAGAUUCGUCAUCUGAUGAUGAUGAAAUUGAGAUGAUUGCAGCGGUAGCCAUUGCAAAGAGAAGACAUAAAAAAUAUGGGCGUUGUGGCUCCAUCAAAGGUCAUGCAACAAUUUGGCGCGAUCGAUUAGUCGGUCAUGAUAGGCUUUUUCAUGAUUAUUUUUCUGAAACUUCCACAUAUCCUCCAGAUAAAUUUCGAAGGAGGUUUCGAAUGAAUCGCCAUCUAUUUCUGCGUAUUAAAAAUUCAGUGGAGCAGCACGAUUCAUAUUUUGUCCAGAAAAUAAAUUGUGCUGGAGUCCUCGGUUUGUCAUCACUACAAAAGAUCAGUGCAACAAUGCGAAUGCUAGCUUAUGGAGUAUCCGAUGAUUCUAUUGAUGAGUAUGUGAGAAUUGGCGAAAGCACUGCAAUCGAAAGAUUGAAAAAGUUUGUUCGUGUAGUGAUUGAAAUUUUUAGCAAUGAAUAUUUACGAUCUCCUAACACAAAUGACAUUGCUAGACUUUUAGCAGAAGGUGAACAACGUGGGUUUCCAGGAAUGUUGGGAAGUCUUGAUUGUAUGCACUGGAAGUGGAAAAAUUGUCCAGUGGCAUGGAAAGGGAUGUAUGUUGGUCAUGCCCAUGAACCAACAAUAAUCUUAGAAGUAGUGGCCUCAUAUGAUCUCUGGAUAUGGCAUAUGUUUUUUGGGUUACCAGGAUCCCACAAUGACAUCAACGUGCUUGAUCGAUCUCCAUUAUUCAAAGACUUAGCUGAAGGACGUGCUCCAUCAGUAAAUUACUCAAUCAAUGGUCAUAAUUAUACAAUGGGGUAUUAUCUUGCAGAUGGUAUAUAUCCACCAUCUGCUGUACGGCCAAGGCGGAUGUACGGUACAGCAGUUACCAAGUUAAUCAUAUGUCGGAAAAUUGUAAAAAUUACAAAACGAAACCAUAAACAUGUGUUGCAUUUCAUAUAAAAAUUCAAAAAAAUGAAUGAAGGUCAGAAAUAUAUCACAAAAAGAAUUUUACAUGUAAAUGUUCAUACUGUCUAGCAGUGAUAAAAAACAGAGAUAGCUGAAUUAGAAAAUUCAUAAAAUAUUUAAUAAAACUCAUAAAAAUUAGACCACUUGAUUNNNNNNNNNNNNNNNNNNNNNNNNNNNNNNNNNNNNNNNNNNNNNNNNNNNNNNNNNNNNNNNNNNNNNNNNNNNNNNNNNNNNNNNNNNNNNNNNNNNNNNNNNNNNNNNNNNNNNNNNNNNNNNNNNNNNNNNNNNNNNNNNNNNNNNNNNNNNNNNNNNNNNNNNNNNNNNNNNAAAAAAGUUUUAACCAUAAGAAAAUUAACUGCUGUACCGUACAUCCGCCUUGGCCGUACAGCAGUUGUCAGAUUCAUCAUACUUUUAACUCUUUAUACUUUAAACUCUUUAUGAAAUAGACUUUUGUGAGUGGACUUGUUCAACCUUCCGCCUGUUAACUAAUUUUUUUUCCUCAUUGUGUUUCCUUCAUGGCUAGCAACUUUAAGAUAAAGAUGCUGUCAGAUUCGUCAUCUGAUGAUGAUGAAAUUGAGAUGAUUGCAGCGGUAGCCAUUGCAAAGAGAAGACAUAAAAAAUCUGGGCGUUGUGGCUCCAUCAAAGGUCACGCAACAAUUUGGCGCGAUAGAUUAGCCGGUCAUGAUAGGCUUUUUCAUGAUUAUUUUUCUGAAACUUCCACAUAUCCUCCAGAUAAAUUUCGAAGGAGGUUUCGAAUGAAUCGCCAUCUAUUUCUGCGUAUUAAAAAUUCAGUGGAGCAGCACGAUUCAUAUUUUGUCCAGAAAAUAAAUUGUGCUGGAGUCCUCGGUUUGUCAUCACUACAAAAGAUCAGUGCAGCAAUGCGAAUGCUAGCUUAUGGAGUAUCCGAUGAUUCUAUUGAUGAGUAUGUGAGAAUUGGCGAAAGCACUGCAAUCGAAAGUUUGAAAAAGUUUGUUCGUGCAGUGAUUGAAAUUUUUAGCAAUGAAUAUUUACGAUCUCCUAACACAAAUGACAUUGCUAGACUUUUAGCAGAAGGUGAACAACGUGGGUUUCCAGGAAUGUUGGGAAGUCUUGAUUGUAUGCACUGGAAGUGGAAAAAUUGUCCAGUGGCAUGGAAAGGGAUGUAUGUUGGUCAUGCCCAUGAACCAACAAUAAUCUUAGAAGUAGUGGCCUCAUAUGAUCUCUGGAUAUGGCAUAUGUUUUUUGGGUUACCAGGAUCCCACAAUGACAUCAACGUGCUUGAUCGAUCUCCAUUAUUCAAAGACUUAGCUGAAGGACGUGCUCCAUCAGUAAAUUACUCAAUCAAUGGUCAUAAUUAUACAAUGGGGUAUUAUCUUGCAGAUGGUAUAUAUCCACCAUGGUCAACUCUAGUGAAAACAAUACCAUAUCCACAAGAAAAUAAGCAUAAGAAUUUUGCUAAAGCUCAAGAAUCAGCCAGAAAGGAUGUUGAGAGAGCAUUCGGAGUGCUCCAAGCUCGUUUUGCGAUUGUGCGUGGACCUGCUCGCUUUUGGGACCGUGAUACACUUCACGAUAUCAUGAAGGCGUGUGUUAUAAUGCACAAUAUGAUUGUAGAAGAUGAACAUAUUACUAAAGAUAUAGAGGACUUAAAUGAUGAUGUAUGUACUGAAGAUUGGGUUAAACCAUCAUUUGAACGAACAAUAGGAAUUAUGGAAUUUAUUCAAAAUCAUCAUCGAAUUAGAAGCAGAGAAAAUCACUCUCAACUUCAAAAAGACCUCAUUGAACAUUUGUGGAAACAUCAAGGAUCCCGUAAGGCCAUGUAAUUUGAUAACAUGCUGCAUUAUUAUCAUAUUUGUCUUUAUCUCUAAGUAAUUUGUGAUGAUUUUAAAUGACAUUAUUAUUAUUGUCUUAAAUAUAUUUUGGCUUUUCAUAAUUCUAUUCAUGUGCUCUGUUUUUCCUGAUAUGAACACAAACUAUAUUGCCAACAAAUGCAAUCAGUAGUUGCAUCAUUGGAAUGCCAUAUUGGACCAAAUUCAUGUCUCAGGCAAUGCUAACAAUGACACCAUGGAACGAGGUUGCAGUAGCCAAAAGCCAGUGCAAAAAUUAGACUUUCUUUGGCCUCCUCACUGGUGAUCGCAAAGAGCACUUCCAGAUCAUGCAGUAGCUGUGCUUAAAACAUGGCUCUACGAAAACUUAAUAAAUUAAAUAUAUAAUAUUAAUUAUAAAAUUACAUGAAAACAUACAAGAAUUUAAAGGAAAAUAAAAUAAUAGAAUAGCAAAACAUUCAAUCUUUAUUUUUUUUUUCAAGGAUUUCCAUUUGACGAUGAUAAUAAUAUUUUUGAAGAUGAGAAGGCAUUCCACUUGUUUCCAUUCGCAUUAUUUUCUCUUCUUCUCGCAAUUCCUCUAAGUCGGCUUUUCGUUUUUCUAUUUCCACCAUUUCUUUUUCUAAAAGAUACUUCUUCUCAUUCAUAUAUGUUUUUCUUGCUCGUUCUUCCUUUUUGUCUGCACGCAUUUCUUCUAAAAUUGUCACAAGAGGAUCAGAAUUUUUUUCUCUAAUCUUACGUUUCUCACUUUUCUUUCCAAGUGGUCUUUCUAAAUCAACAAAAUUGGUGUCACCAUUAUCAUUUUCAUCAAGAUUGAUAGGAGUCUUUGCAGUUGAUGAUGAGGAUAUACCAGGCGAUGAAGCUGAAAUUAAACCCUUUUUCUUCUCUCUUUUUGCUUGGUUAUCAGUCAACCAUUUUGGAUGAUGCCUCAAUAUAUUCCAACAGUGUUCAAAAGUAAAUUUUGUUUUGAACAUUUCCUUGUACAGAGCCUUUGCAUUCAUAAUAUAAAAUAAUUCAUUUUAAUUUAUAAACAAAUAAAAUGACAAAACUAAUUGAUUUGUUUAAUUAAUUAAAAUAGAUACCUUGUCUUGUUCAUUCACGCCACUUUGUUGUCUAUUUUCAAUUUGGGAAAAACAGCCAUGAAAUUUGUUGGUGGCUUGCUGUAUCUUUGACCAACGCUGCAUCAAUGAUUUUUCAUCCCUUUCAGAUUCAAAAUUCUUGUAUUUGUGAAAAUAACCCCACACUCGAGCCCAAAAGCUUUGGUGUGUUUGAUCAGUUCCUUGGACAGGAUCCAAACUAAUAUUCAACCAUGAUGAAACAAGAUGCAUAUCUUCAUCCGCUGAAAAAGCCUCACCGCGUUUCUUUUGUGAAAUGGAGCCGAGAAGAGUUGCUGAUAGAGAUGAUUCAAUGAAUUGAGAUGAAUGAGGUAUUUGUGUAGAAAACGAUGGAUGAUCAAAUUGAUCCAUUUUGAUGAAGUCAAGUGAAAAACUGAAAAAAAAAGCCGUUCAAUUGUUGUUUAUGUUUUUGAAAGGAAACAUAAAUAAUAAUUAUAGCAGUUGUAUCUUUCCAAUAAUAAAUAAUAAAAUAUUAAUAGAAGAGGGAGAAACUCACUCGGUAAUAUUGAAGAGUGAGAAACAAAUCUUAUUUGAAGAAUCUAAAUUAACGUGUCUUUUGGAAUGUUUAAAAUUGAUAUGGCUCUUCAAAUAAGAAGUAGAAUUUUAUUAGGGGAACUAAGGUUACUAAGACAUGUAAAUAGUUCAUUCAAUGAAUUGUUGGCAUUUGAUUGAGACACCACCCAUUUUAGAUAUCAUAUAUAAAUAAAAUCAGAAACGAAAUCAAAACUUGGUUUGAAUUGCCUAGAUGACCCUUCCCUAGUAGGCAUGCUUUUAAAAUAUUAUAAUAUAUACUAGAAUGAAAUCAUCCAUUAAAUGAAUAUUAUAAAUGCUAUCAACGUUUAUCUCUCUCAAAUAAAAAAUAUCUGCAAACAGAGGUAUUUUAUGGGCUAAACUAUCGUUUUGUCCCAAUUGUAUUUAGGAAAAAAAAAAGGAAUAAUUCGACUAUCUAAGGAUGUUAAAUUUUAAAUUUAUUACAGUAAAGACAUUGAUAAAUUGGUAAUUUUAACUUCUUCUUUUUUAAGCAAUCUCCAUUUAGGAUCUAUGUGAUUGAUAAUUUGAUAAUUUUAUAAAAAGAAUUAUGGUAGCUCAAUAUAUGGCCCACUUAGUACAAAAAUCAAUAAUAUAUUAAUAUAUGCAACUAAAAUAAUUACAUGACAUUUGUAUAAAUAUAGCCAGUGUUUACAUGUAACAACAUAAAAAGAUCAUUGAUUAUUUUUUAAGGUAGGUCGAAUCCUUAUAUUAUAAUUUUAAUGACUACAAAAUUAAGUAAACACGAUAUUUUAAAAACCAUAUUAUCACACACAAAAACAACAAAGUUUUGUAAAACUACACGGAGAAUUGGAUAGAAAAAUCUACAUGAACCAACAAUAAUUUAAACUAAAAGAAAAUAUUUUCUUGAAAUAAUAAUUUGAAGGAAGUAAAAAGAAUAUUUUUUUAACCAUUUUUUUAAUAUCUUGUUGAUUGUUGGAAUUCAUGACAUAGUUAAAAAUUUAUUGCAUUUAAGAUAUUUUAUGUUUUUUUGAGUGUUAAAACUGGCAGGCCUCGCAAACAAAUUUGGCCUAAAGCCGCAAGUAAUUAAUUUAGAGCCGGCCCUCCUUUUUAAGCCUUGCCAACAACUGUGCAAGUUCUGUACAAUAAUCAGUUGCAUAGAGACUCCUCUAAUCAAAUUACAAGGAAGUAAUUUACCUAACAAAUAAAUCAACUAGCUUAGAGCAAAGAUAUGAGGAGACUAAUUAACAAGAGCAUUGUUUUCUAUAUAUAUACACAAAAGCAAUUAGGAGAAGACAGCAUUUAUUGAUUAUAACAUUAUUCACCUCAAAUACAAUUAUAAUUUAUGUCUGCAAGCCAAGUCACAAGAAUCUAAGAAAUUAACGGAUUUCCAAUAUAGAUUCAGCUAGUUUAACUCUUCGUUUCAUUCUUUUUAUUGCAUUUUUGGCUGUCUGUAGUUGUUUUUGUCGUAGUAUAUGCAUCCGAAUAUAAAAAUUAACUUUUGAGUUUAAUAUUAUGUGUCGCGGAUGAUUUUGUCGAAUUUAUACCUAAUUUUUAAUUACGAAAUAAUUUUAUCGCCUAUAAUUAUAUUUUGUGAUCAUUCAUUAUGUCAUAAAUAAUGAAAUAUUGUCCCAAAAUGUUUAAUUUUGAAGAGAAAUUUAUGCUCUGAACAAAAAAAAUUUGGUGACUAAAAUAAUAUUUAUCUCAAAAAUGUUGAAUAAGAAACUAGCUACUGCAUUCUAAAACAAAUAUUAUUGGUCACAAUAUAUAACAUAAGUCAAGACAAUGCUAUUCGUUACGAUUUCAAAAGUUUGUCAUCAUAAAUACUAUUUUAUGACCAAAUAUAAAAAUAUCAUAAAAAGCUACAUUUCUUGUAAAGACUGUUUUACUAAAUUUAGUGAAGCCAAUAAAUUAAUAUUUGGCUGCAGAUAUUGUUGCAAAUUUAGGUCUCAAUUAAUCGCACCGAUUUGAUAUUUGGUGGGAUUAUCUUGCAUUCAUGGGGAGUACUACAUUUAAUUAUCAUCAAUUAAGUUGCUUCUUCGAACAUUUUAGGUUUGAUUUUUCAAUUAUAUAUGCUAUUAUUUUUACUACCGUAUUUCUCUUAUUUUUAAGGGAAAACGACACUUCUGUUCAAGGGCAGAUCCACAUACAAGCUAGUGUGCGCAAUUGAUUCUGCUCAAAAAUUAAAAAAAAAAAAUCUUUAUUUUCGUACUAAUUUUUUAUAAAAAAUUAUUCAAAUGGGGCAAACUUAUAAAGAGAUUCUGAUCUUGGGGUGAAUUUUAUAAAUUAUUAAUUUUUAUUAUAUACACCCCAAUGAAUUAAGUUUCUACACCCGCCAUUUGAUUAUAAUUCAAUUCGUGACGGUCGUAAGUCUCAAGUGCUUCUGUUCCUCUUAAAUAUUACUUUUACCAUUUAGUUUCUUAAUAAAUUUUUAAUAUCUCGUCAUUUCAUCUCCAAUGUUAAAACAAUUACAGAAAAAAUACAUAAUUAAAGAGUAAAUGUAAUCUAGCUCUAGUAGGAAAAAAAAAUAGCCUCUCUAGGACUAAAGUCUUGAAUUCAAGGCUCAUUAGUAUGAUGCAUUUAAAAAAAACAAAAAGACAUCUAUACCCCCAAAGUUUGGGAAAAUAGUCACCAACACACUUAAAUUUUGAAAGAGGGACACCAAGAUCUUCUUUUGAUUAUUAUACCAUUUACCUCUAUUAUUCUAGAAAAUUUGACUUUAAAAUUUUUAUUAAAUAAAAAUACCAUAAAAAUAAUGUUACCACUGUUGUAAUCAGUCAUUGAAUUUAUAAUUGUACAAUUAUAUUAGUUAGAUCCAAUAAUUAAAAGUAACAGUGGUAUCGUACCAUUGUUGCAACAUAAUUAGACCCAUAUCACAGACAUAGAUGAUAAAAAAAAAAUCUAUAAAAAGACGAAAAUGUCAUUCUCACUAUUAGCAUUAAUAACACCACCAUUGCUUUUAUUGGCAACUGACAUAAGGUACCGUACCACUGUUGUAAUCAGUCAUUGAAUUUAUAAUUGUACAAUUAUAUUAGUUAGAUCCAAUAAUUAAAAGUAACAGUGGUAUCGUACCAUUGUUGCAACAUAAUUAGACCCAUAUCACAGACAUAGAUGAUAAAAAAAAAAUCUAUAAAAAGACGAAAAUGUCAUUCUCACUAUUAGCAUUAAUAACACCACCAUUGCUUUUAUUGGCAACUGACAUAAGGUACCGUACCACUGUUGUAAUCAGUCAUUGAAUUUAUAGUUGUACAAUUGUAUUAAUUAGAUCCAAUAAUUGAAAGCAACAGUGGUACCGUACCAUUGUUGCAACAUAAUUGGACCCUUAUCACAAACCUAGAUGAUAAAAAAAAAUUCUAUAAAAAGACGAAAAUGUCAUUCUCACUAUUAGCAUUAAUAACACCACCAUUGCUUUUAUUGGCAACUGACAUAAGGUACCGUACCACUGUUGUAAUCAGUCAUUGAAUUUAUAAUUGUACAAUUAUAUUAGUUAGAUCCAAUAAUUAAAAGUAACAGUGGUAUCGUACCAUUGUUGCAACAUAAUUAGACCCAUAUCACAGACAUAGAUGAUAAAAAAAAAAUCUAUAAAAAGACGAAAAUGUCAUUCUCACUAUUAGCAUUAAUAACACCACCAUUGCUUUAUUGGCAACUGACAUAAGGGGCAUUGCCUUUUAUAAAAGGAAGUGAAAACCCAAUUUAAGAAAUAGGCAUUGAUUUUCACUUUUCUUUGUCUAUUCUAAAGCCAUCUUUGUUCUCGACUCUGUGCUCUCCAUUUUUCUCAGUAAAUGUUUUUCUCGUUUUUUAAAACCAAUUUAAAAAACGGUACGUGAAAACAAAUGUCGAUUUUGCUUUAAAUUAAGGGUGUUCAAUGGUUCAAAUCCAUUAUAUUUUAUCAAAUUCAAGUCCAAUUCAUCAUCUAUUGGAUUUUAUAUUUUAGAUCAAUUUGAUCUAAUCACUAAUUAAAAUCUAAUAUAAUCUAAACUAAUAAAAAGUCAAAUUCGAUUAAUCUGAUCCGAUCAAUCUGAUUAAUAUAAAAAUUUACAAAAUAAAAAGUCAAUUGCUCUUCAAGGUUCUAAUUACUAGUAAUUAGAAGAGAAAAAAUAUGAACUUCAUUAAUAUUUCAUAAUUCAUAUAUUUUAUUAUUCUAUGGUUGAAAAAAAUUGAAAUCUAAAUAAUAAAAGCAAACAUUGGUUGCAAUUUGUAGUUUGUACUCUACAUUAUCACUACAUAUUUAUAGUUAUAAAAAAUUAUGUUUUACUCUUUUAGAAAGUAAAAUAUAAAAGUGUUACAUAGCUUUUAAAAAAAAAGCACAAAAAUAAAAAUUAAUUGGUUGAAUUGGUUUAUAUUGAAUUUGAACAUAAGGAUCAAUAAAUUUAUCUAAUAAUAUUGGAUUAACCAUUUUGCAAUUCAAUUCAAUCCAAUCAAAAGGUUAAUCCAACAAAAAAUAGAUUAGUUUGGAUUGGUUCGAUUAGUUUGAUCAAAUCGGAUCUUGAACAUGGCUACUUUAAAUUGCAUUGCUUCUAAGAUUGGCGACUGUUAUCUAAAUUAAUGAUAGAGUCAGUCAGUCAACCAAUGAAUCAUUAAGAAUUAUCCAUUGCGUCCCCAAUGAAUCAUUAAGAAUAAUCCAUUGCAUGGAAAAUGCCCAGCUUUCACAAGUCAAACGUGGAGUAUACGUUUUUAUGUUAAACAUGGUUGACUGGUGAUCACUUUUCACAUUGCAGCCUGCCUAACCAAUUUCAAACCGUGUUUCAUGGAUGACUUAUUUUUAUGAAUUGGAAACUAGCACCAAUAGAUUUUUCUCUGUAAAUAUAAAAAGUUCAAAUGAAUAUUUUCAAUAACUGUUUCAAAAUGUCUUUCUAAAUUACGAUAAAUUUAAUAGCUAAUAGAAAUAUUUCAUUAUGUGAAUCAAAUUUGAAAUUUGUAAGGAAAAAUGUAAAAAUAUUGGUUUUCAAAUAUUUUUCUAUAUUUUUUUAAAUUUAAAAUUAGUGAGGAAACAAAUAUAACAGUAUUGGUCUUAAAAUUUAAAAUUCAAAACGUGUAUCAAUUACAAGAGAAAAAGAAGAGUGGUAUUCAUAUUAUUUUAAUUUGAAAAACAAACACUUAGACUCAUAUUCAUAUUUGAUGAUUUCUUUUGGUCGGGAGAAAAUCCUCUUUAUAUCGAAAGUACCACGUCAAUAAUAGCUCAUUAACGUCCCUGUCACGCAUGCAUUAUAUAGCUAGAUAUGACAUUAUUUAAUUUUAAUGUGAAAUGAAUCUUUCAUCAUAACAAAUUAAUCCCAUAUAUAUAUCUAUAAAGUCUGCAAUAAAUGAACAUCGAGUGCAGCAAAUUAGGUGAGGGUUAAUCUUGUGAGUGUUUUGCUUAAAAUAAUGAAUAUGUUUUUGUUUAAGCUCUUAGCGUGGGUUUCCAUAUGCUUAAUUCAAAUGCAUGGAUACAGAGGUUGCUUGGAAACAGAGAGGACUGCUCUGUUGGAAAUUAAGAGAUUCUUUAUUGCAGUCAGGGAUAUUAUUGGAUAUAAAGACGAAAUUCUAACUUCAUGGGUUGAUGAUGAAAUGUCUGAUUGUUGUCGUUGGGAGCGAGUUAAGUGCGUUAACGCCACCACACGACGGGUGAAGGAACUAUCACUCUAUUACGUUAUAUUUAAAAACUACUAGGUUAAAAUGUGAUUGCUUGAUAUUUAUAUCGUAAAACUAAAGUAUUCAGAUUCUAACUUUUUGUAUUUAUUUAUCUAUAUAUUUAUUCAUUCCAUUCUAUAUAUUUGUUUUGGAUCUAAGUGAGAAUAAUAUAGGCGUUUCCGUAGCAGAGCCAGGUAAGAAUUCGCAGAAUUACAUUGUUUGAAAAAAUAAAAUAAAAUAAAAACCAUAACUAAGAUCAUUUCUUCUCUUGGUGCAGGAUUAGCUAAAUUAAGAAACUUGAAGGCGCUGGAUCUAAGUUACAAUGAUUUAAACGGUUCUCUUGAAAGCCUAGGUAAUAAUUCGCAUGGUUGUUUUUUCGAUGAUUAGAAUUGAAUAUCUAUUUGAAAUAUAAGAAUUUUUUUAGGAUGUGUUUAAUUUUUUUUAGGAUGCGUUUGAUAUUAUUUUUCAAAUUACAUACUAAAUAAGUUUUCUUUAUUUCUUGUAGUGACUCAUAAAUGAAGAAUGACUGUAGAAAAAAGGAAAUUGUAGAAAAAAGGAGACCAUGCCAGGCUAUUUUAAUGCAGAAACAGUAUGAAGCAUAAACUUUCAUUUUUUUUCUUUUUCUUUCUUUUUUCCAACCCAAAGUAAGACCCUUUGAAAGCAUUUGAAUCUAAACAUUGCUUUAGCUUCUGAUCAGCAAGCAGCCAGCUAAAAGUUUAUUUGGAAAACAUCUUGUUGAAUAUGAACUGCAAAUCAGUUUGUAGUUGAGUGCGACAAGUCGGUUAAAUAUUUUUCGAUAGAAUGACAUGUCGGUUGAAGUUCCUAAAGAGGCUAUACGACAAGGACAUCGCGUCAUCUGUAUAUGCAAAGAAGACAUGUGACUUCGGCACGUGAGUCACUUAAAGGGAACGACAGCCUGAGCUGCCGUUUUGAUACUUAAAAGAAACGAGAUGGAGACACGUGUUUUGGAAGCUGAUCAAAAGUCUGUUAAGCUGUUGAUAAGCGCGGGAAGCUGCUGAUCUUCUUUGUCAUUGAACACAGAGGAAACUUGCUGGUGUUUUGAUCGAGCAAGAGCAUGUAUAUAUAGCUGGAUACUCAGGAAUAACGGUAGUUGUUAUUUGGUUGUUAUAUUCUCUGUAAAAGCUUGUUCUCUGGAGACAGUCGAUUCAAUAAACUUGGGUUCAUCCUUUCACAGUGGACGUAGGCUUCCAUAGCCGAACCACUAUAGCUUUCUUGUGUUGUCUUUUCUGUUCUUAAAUUCUUUCAUUGACUUGCUUUGAUUGCUUGGGUUGUUAAAGUUUUCUUUAAGCCGAGUUCUGUUUACAUUAGUUUUAGAUACAAGAACCCUUCUUGAGUGGAUCUUGGGGAGCCAUUAUCAGUUCUUUACUGGUAUUUGGUACAACACAUCUCUUACGAAUGUACCACACAAAUCUUGCAGAAGUGUCAAAUAAACAUUUCUAGAGCCCUAGAAAGACCAACUGACCUGCAUUCAAAGACAAGAAGCUCAAAAAUGGGAAAUCAUAAUAUUUUUCAAAAGAAAGCAGAGUAACUAAAUUUGCGUUGAUAGCUGCAAAACUAUAACCAAUAAGAAGAAACAAUACCAAAAACAGGAUACUUCAGGAAAAAAGAAACAGCAGAACGAUUGAUGAGAAAAUUGGAAAUUGUUAUCAGUCAUGCAUAUGAAUGAAGAGCUGUGUAGAACUGCAACAGAGCACUAGAAAAAGUGAGAAGUGCAAACCUGAAUCUGCAUUAAGAAGUUGUUAACCGUAGCACCUCCAUCAACUCUAAGCACGAACUCCGACUUUGCAUCCUUUAUGACACCCUUUUCCACUGCAUCAUUUUGCAUUGAAUCCAACACAUCCUUCACUAGACAACACAUGCUUUCAAGCACAGCUGUUUCUGCGGGCGUCAUCAUGCCACCAUGGAGCAAACAAUCCAUUAAAAGCAGGUACAAAGUAAAUCCCACCAGUUGAGUUGACCUGCAAUGCCAAUUCCUCUAUCUCACUCGCACUGCUGAUUAUGCCAAGACUGUCUCUGAGCCACUGAACUGCAGCUCCAGCGAUGGCAAUUGAACCCUCCAGAGCGUAGUUUGUCGGUGAUUUAGGACCAAUCUUAAAGGCUAAAGUGCUCAAAAGUCCAUGCUUUGACUUAACUACCUCUUCGCCUGUGUUCAGAAGUACAAAAGCACCAGUACCGUAGGUGCUUUUAGCCUCACCUUUUUUACAAGCUUGUCCUAACAUAGCCGCGUGUUGGUUACCAAGGCAUCCUGAAUUUGGUAUUCCAGUAAUUGGCCACCCUUUGCCAAUUUUUCCAAUAAUCUCAGAAUUACUAACAAUUUUGGGCAGAAUUUCGGCCGCUAUCCCUAGUGUUUCUAGUGUAGGCUUAUCCCAAUCAAGAGUUUUCAGAUUCAUGAGCAUCGUUCGUGAUGCAUUAGAGACAUCAGUGACGUGCAAACGACCAUUCACUCCACCAGUUAAACUCCAUAUUAGCCAAGUGUCUAUAGUUCUAAGAAGAAAUAGUACAAGCGUAUUGGUAACAUGGCCAGGUAUAUAGUUGAAUUUUCGUGAUGCUGCCUACCUAUUUAAGAAAUUCGGCAUCUUGUAGCAUUAUUUCUUCUCUCGGUGCAGAAUUCCCUUAAGUGAAACAAUUGGAAGCAUUGGAUUUGAGCUUUAAUAAUAUAAAAGGUUCUUUGGAAGGCGAAGGUAAACUUUAGAAACAAUUAGCAGUUAUUUUUCCAAUAAAAACAUGAUAAUUUUAAUUUUAAGAUAAGUUAAGUGCAUUGUCAUGAUUUGUAGACAAUUUAUUACUUAUGAAAAGAAUUUCUCUGUAUACAUAAUAAUUUCCAAUGGAAUUAUAUAUCAGAGAGAACCAAUUUAAAAUGAACAGGUAACAAUAAGAAAACUAAAAAAUACAUUUUCUUCUUAUCAUGAAUUUUGACGCUUUUAUUUCCGCAGGAAUAUAUGAAUUGAAGAAUCUUAUUGAAUUGGAUCUCAUUAGUAAUAAUUUUGAAGGUCAACUUCCUUCGUAUCUGAGCAACUUGACAAUCACUAGAUAAUCACUUGAAUUAUUGCUAACCUUCUGUUAAGUGAGAGCUUACAUUAAUGCAGUUUGUAAAUUAUUAAUAUUAUAAUUAUUAUGAUCAUUACAACAACAAUUUUAUAACAUUAAUGAUGUAAGAAAUAAUUUUUUAAAGUUGUAAAAGUGAGUACUAAAGAGGUCUUUAUUACAUCAUUAAUGUUCGAUCAAGAGUUUCCCCCUCCGAGCUUGCAGUCUGUUGACGAGACCGUGUCAAUACUGGAAUUCUCUGGACCGGCAACAUUUUGCUGCUUCUCCACUGAAAUCCAGGCGAAAUGCAACGCGAUUUACUACAACAAGGGGAAAUCCAGCCCAGUGUUCUGAUGGGCCCAACGCGAAAAAGAUAAAAUCCAAGUUUGUGUUAACUUUGGGCCUGUCUAGAUACCAUGUCCAAUUGCGUCGAGUUGUAAUGAAAGUGGCGAGGCAUUCAUGCCCAAAACCCCAAGAUUGUUACAGUAUUUAAAAUGUGUUGUUGUUGUCGUCUUUUAUUUUUUUAUUUUUUUUCCUUUUUCUUUUUUAAAAUAAACCACUAUGAUUCUAAUUUAUAAAUUAAUUUAACUUAAUUCGUCGACCAAGGGGAACUUAAUUACAGUUCAAUCAUCCACGGAUUAAUUCAUAAAUAACCAGCAGAACAGCUUGUAGAAAAAUAUAAAUAACAAUGCUCUGUAUGAAUUCAUCUCCGAUGGACACAAGCAAAGAAGCUCAUAUCAGUUAGCAUUAUUUCAUAAAAAAACUAGCAUAAUUGCUUAUAGAAAAUCAUCAUGGGGAUGUGAAUAAAAUCAGUAGAAAGACAUCAGAUUCAUAAAAGCUUAAACCCGAUAAUAAGUACAUGAUGAUCGUUCUUUAAAAAAAAGAAAGGACAUGGUGAUCUGCCUCGUAAAUCGUGAGCUUUCUCAAAGGACACGAGAGCAUGUAUUGUGUAGACCGGGUCAGCGGGCCAACCCCUGUGGAAUUCUGCAACAACCAUCCCGAUUCUUGAAUGGCCACGAAAAUUCCACAAGCGACGAACCCUCUCCUACACGCCACGGAUUCUCCGUGACAAGGAUCAAAACAAAGAUGAGGACAAAGACUAUUAAUCGCCGAGAGUGAUUGUUCCAAUUUUUGUCACUCGCUACGAAGAUUCAUUGCCAAUUAAUAAGAUCAAUUGACACAAACAUGGAUUGUCCCCCUUUUUUUUCUGAUAAUAUCAAUGCUGGAAUGUAUUACUUAUUUGAUAUUACGUAUUUGAUAUGUAAAUCAGUAUAAACCCAAUCAUACUCUUUUAAGUCAUUUAUAUAAAUUUUCAAUAUCAGUUUUUGAAUUUAAUUCGAGCUUUGAUUCAAAUUAACGCAAGCAUACAAAGGGAUUCAAUUCAAGCUUAAGAUAUCGCUUUUGUGUUAUUAUUUCGUUGUAAAUCGUAAUUUUAUGAGUAAUUUACUAAAAUGUCUAAACAUGUAUGAAAAUUAGUUGAUUAUUGAUUUUCACAAAUUUCAAUAUAUCAAACAUCCUAUCGAAUUAUUAAUUAUAUAGCACUUAUUGAAGAAUCAAUAGUGGAAAAAACUAUUUGAUAAUUUGAACUCAAAACUUACUCUUAAAUUUGUUAAAGGGGAAAGAACAGUGAGACCCCUAACGUUUGGAAAAAAAGACAUAAAACUCCUUAACGUUUCAAAAAAGACUUAUAAUCCCUUUUUUUAUUAAAUUUCAUUUGUUUUAAUAGUAAAAUUAUUUUUAAUUUAUAAUUACUAUUAUAUCCCUAUAAUAAAUAAUUUAAUAUAUUGACUUAAAACAUAUCAUAGGUAUAAUGAAAUUAAUAUUUUUUUUAUUUAAAACUUAAGUAUUAAGAUGUAAUUACUUUUUGCCCAAAUUAUUCACUCUAAAUUACGAACAUACCCUUCCCAAUGAUAAAUUUGAUUUUAAUUUUACCUAUUAUUCUUCAUUUUUUAUCAUCCUAUCAUUGGAAAGGGUAUAUUAAUAAUUUAUAAUGAAUAAUUUGAAUAAAAGAUAAUUACAACUCAAUUUUAAGAUAAUAAUAAUAAUAAUAAUAAUAAUAAUAAUAAUAAUUGUAAAUUAAAAAUAAAUUUACUAUUAAAACAAAUAAAAUUUAAUAAUAAAAAUAAGUUAUAUAUCUUUUUUUUUAAAUGUUGAGGGAUAUUAUGUCCUUUUCUAUUGUCCUUUUCCCUUCUUUAAAUUACCUCAAUCAACUUUUAUUUUAUUAGUUGACUAUCCCCUUCACCCGUUGGAAAAAGUAGAAUUAACGACCGUUUGUAUGCUGGCUUAAUUCGAAAGUCAAUCAACAUUUAUUUUCCAUGGAGUACUAAUGAAGCGUGUUUCCUCAUUGGUCCAGGUCUUACAAGUCUUUCUUAGUCAUUAUAGAGGCCAAAACCCAUUAUCUUAACGUGUACCAAUCACUGUAAAGAUUGACUAUCAAUAUUAAGAUCGAUUGUCCAGCAACAUCAGGAUUGAUUGAAUCAAUCUUUAAAGAUCAAUCAAUUUUCCAAUUAUAAUAAUUGUAACAUUUCUUCAAAAAAAUUUAGUUUUUGUAUAAAUUGAGCUUUUAGAUUUUUUCAAAAAUCUAAUAAAAUAAUUUUCGAAACUCACUAAAUAUUUUAGAAUAUCAAUCCUUGAAUACAUGUUUUGAUAACUCAGUGCAAACCCAAUCAUACAAUUCAAUAAAAGCCCAAUCAUACUCUUCAAUUACAUAAAUUCUUAGUCAACUUUUAUUUUAUAGUAUUGACCGUCGCCACUAAUUGUUAGUGGAAAAAGAAUUGAUGGCCACUUGUUUGUUGGCUUAAUUUGAAAAGUCAGUCAACUUUAAUUUCCCACGUGGUUGUAAUAAUAUAUGGAAAAUUAGAUAGGGUCAUUUAAAUUGAAUCCCAUACAUCUGUCCCAAGUUCAUAUGAAAUUUCUGUUUUUGUCAUUUCACGUUCAUAUGAAAUUAGCUGCAAAUUGUGACCAAUGGAAGCUUCCUCGUUAAGGAUUCUCAAUAGCUUUGAUUUUAGUAGAGCUUUGAUUCAAAUGCAUGAACACAACAGGUCACAAGAGCUUCAAAUAACAUUUAUGUGUUUUGUCAUUUCGGAUUAGGCCCUAAUUUUAUGAGUAAUUAAACUAAACAUGCAUGAAAAUUUAGGUUGAUUAAUUAUUGAUUUUCUAAUAAAUUAAUUUAAACUUAUCAAACAUCCAAUCAAAUUCUUCUCAAAACACAUUAUUUAAUAGAUUGACUGAUAAUGCAAUGGAAAUCCAAACACACGGUUAAAUUAUUUAAAUUCUCUCAGUCAACUUUUAUUUUAUUAGUUAUGAUUAUCUCCAUCAAACUAUUGGAAAAUUUUAUAGUUUACAAUCACUUUAUCUAUAUUUUCCACGGGGUAUUAAUGAAGUGCUUUUUCCCGUUGGUUGAACGUUGCAAAACAUGGAAUGCUUACAAGUCUUCAAAGAUGGCGAUGUAUUGGCCACUUAAGAUAUUGAACAGAGUGGUUGAGUAAUCCUCAGCCAAUCAAAUUGCGAGGCCUACUAUAAACUUUUAGUAUAAAUUAAUAUUGAUUUUCCCUCAUUGCACAUUGAAUUUUAACCAAAUGAAAAGUUGCUCUGCAAUGGAAAGUACUUCCUGUAUUAAGUUCUCAUUAAUGUCACUAAUUUGGAUUAUUGUAUUGAUGAAUGAAAUGCAUGGAUACAAAGGAUGCUUGGAAACAGAGAGGACUGCUCUGUUGGAAAUCAAGAGCUUCUUCAUAUCAGUCAGUGAUAUUGGAUAUGAUGACCAAAUUCUUCCUUCAUGGGUUGGUGAGGAUUAUGGAAUGCCGUCUGAUUGUUGUGAUGAUUGGGAGGGAGUUAAGUGCAACGCCACCACACGACGGGUGAUGCAACUCUCACUCAAUAAUACAAAGAGAUUGAAUUAUUAUGAUGGAACUUCGCUUCUGAUCAAUAUGUCAUUGUUUCAUCCUUUUGAAGAAUUGCAAAGCCUUCACUUAUAUAGGAAUUGGUUUACAGGCAUCUAUGAGAAUAGAGGUCCGUAUAUAUGUAUACAUUUAUUUCUCGUCCAUAAAUAUUUUGUCAGUGACUAAUUAAUAAUAACACUUCAUAUGCAUUUGCAGCUUACGAUAGCUUUGGGAGUUUGAAGCAGCUGAAGACCUUAAAUCUUGAAUAUAAUUUCUUCAACGACAGCAUAUUACCAUAUUUGAAUAUACUAACUUCACUUACCACCCUGAAUCUUCAUUAUAAUAAGAUUGAAGGUUCCAGAACCAGGCAAGGUAUAUACAUAUACGUUUCAGGCCAGCAGAUAAACUUGUCAGGCAACUUAAUUAAUUUCUUAAUUAAAAUAUAUAUUUAUAUUGUCUUGAUCAAAAUUAAUGUUUUCUGAGCAGGACUAGCAAAUUUGAGAUACUUGCAAGUGUUGGAUCUAAGCGCGAACUACAAUAUAACUAGUGGCUCUUUAACAAGGCUAGGCAGGCUACUGAGAUAAUUACCAAGUCAGCACACUAAUCACAACCUUCUACAAUAAUUUUAAAAGUAAUAUUUUGCUUUUCAUUGGUGUAGGAUUGGCAAAUUUGACAAACCUGAAAAAAUUGGAUCUUGAUGGUUGUGGAAUAACUACAAUUCAAGGUACACGGCAACAAGUCACUCCCCAAAUUCCUUGUGAUAUUAUUGUGGCCGUAAUUUUUACACCUGUAUAAUGUCAAAUUAAAACCAAUUUUUGACUGGAAAACUUGACAAACUUGACUACAAUUGGUACACGACAAAAAUUUACUUUCUAAUUUCUUAGUAAAAUUUAAAAAAAAUAAAAUCAUUUUUGAGUAUAUGAUCAAUUUAAUUAGAUCUUAAUCAUCAUAAGCUUUAUUACUACAAUUAGUUAAUCUAACUUUGAAAUUUAUUUCUUAAUCUUAAUUCUUUUUUUUCCAAAGAUGAUUAAUAAAAAUUUUCUUCUUUCUUGGUGCAGGAUUAGCUAAAUUAAAAAACUUGGAAGCGUUGGAUUUGAGUUCUAAUUAUUAUUUACACGGUUCUUUAGAAGGUAGUUUUUUUUAAUUAAACAAUUUGCACAGUUAAUUCUCAUUCAAUAUUUACCAUAUUAUUAUAAUUAAACAACUUAGAUGAGAAUGACAUAACUAUUAUUGACAAAAUUUAUGUUUUUUUUUUAACAGGAUUAGCAAAUUUGACAAACCUGCAAGUGUUAGAUUUAAGCGGUAAUCANNNNNNNNNNNNNNNNNNNNNNNNNNNNNNNACAUACAAUGCUUUUAAAUGUAAUAUUUAAUUAAUGUUUAUCAAGUACACGGAUCACAUACAAUGCUUUUAAAUGUAAUAUUUUCAUUUUUUAUCGGUGCAUGUAGGAUUGGCAAAUUUGCCAAACUUGAAAACAUUGGAUCUUCGUGAUUGUGGAAUAACCACAAUUCAAGGUAUACAACAAUUCACUUCCUAUUAAUGUCGAAUUUAGAUAAAGUUUUCGACAACCCUCACUUUUAGUGUUUUUAAAAUAUUGUUGAUAAAUGUAUAUAACAACACAAAGAUUAUAAACUUUUUAAAAAAAUUUACUGACUUAAUUCUUCUAUUCCUCUAUUUUUUUUCCUAAAUAAAUAAAUUCUUCUAUGCCUCUAUUUUUUUUUCCAAAAUAAAUAAAGCAGGAUUAGCCAAUUAGUCAAAAUAGUAUAAGCUUAUCCGUAACAUGGCCAAGUAACAUUUGAAUUUUCGUAAAUAGUUUAACUAUUUAAAAAAUGCUGCAUCCUUAACAUCGUUUCUUCUUUCUUGGUGCAGGAUUGGCUAAAUUGAAAAGCUUGGAAGCAUUGGAUUUGAGUGGAAAUAAUUUAAACGGUUCUUUAGCGGGCCAAGGUAAAAUUUUUAAAUAAAUGUGGACAGUUAUUUUUCAUUGAAACGUGAUAAUUUCGAAUGCUUACAUUAAUGAUAUAUACCCCCAAUUUCUAGCGACUUGUUUGUCGGUCAAACUUGCUACUUGAAAGACAAAAUUAUGAAGACCGGUUUUUUUCCCCUUUAAUUAAUAAUACCUUUAAAAAGUGACUUCUUUAUUUGUAUUGGUAAUAGUUACGAGAGGUAAUAUAAAUUUUCAAGAUAAAUGAAUUAAGUGUAUUUUAGACCAUUUAUUAUUUAUGAAAACAACUAAAAAAUUAGAGAACCGAUAUAAUGUCCAAUGAACGCGUACUCAAUACGCAGUAGGCAAUAUUUAUGACGAACAAGAAGUGCUGGACUCUCUUUUAGACUAUUUGAAAUGACUUAGAAGUCAACAUCAAAAUAUAUGAGAAUAAUACAAAUUAAUUUCUAGGUAUAAUUUAACAGAGAUUUGAUUAUUUUUUUUUUUUAUAGAUUAUAGGGGUUCUGACUAAAUUAUCUACUUUUAGAAAAUUAGGAAGUCAUUCUUUCUAUUUUUUGUUUCAGUAGAUUGUAGUGGCUCUUUAACAAAUUUAUGUUCUUUGAACAGGAUUAGCAAAUUUAACAAACUUGCGAGUGUUGGAUUUAGGAUAUAAUCGAAAUUUGACAACGCUAGGUAAGCGACUGAAUCUGAGAUAAGAAGCAAAUUAAGAAUUAAUAUUCUUCAAACGCGCAGAUCACAUACAAUGCCUUUAAAUGUAAUAUUUUCAUUUUUUAUCGACGCAUGUAGGAUUGGCAGAUUUGCCAAACUUGAAAGCAUUGGAUCUUCAUUAUUGUGGGAUAACUACAAUUCAAGGUAUAUAACAAUUCACUUCCUUCAAUAACAAAAAUUGUUUUAGAUGUUAAUCAAGAUGAUAAUAUAUUUCCAUUUUUUUAAUUGCUUUUUUCACAUUUUCAAGUUUACUCAAAGUGCAAAUUAAUUUACAAAUUAUGAUUCAGAUACUCCAAAUCUAAGUAAUGCUAAAAGUGACGGUAGAUAUUAAAAUAUCAGUAGAAAUAAAAAAUAAUUCUUCCUGUCAUAUUAAUUAUUCACAAAUAUCAUCGAGAAAAUUAUGCCUCAUAAUAUAGUGCUAAAACAUCUCAUUGCUUUUGUAUGGAAGAAAUCCCUUUUUUUUUUCUUUUGAAUGGAAGAAACGGGUUUAAUAAUAAAAAUAAAUAAAAAUUAGAGAAUGGGGUUUACACUAAUAAGUUUUAAUAAGGGUAUUUUUAUCAUUGAAGGUGGAGUUAAAAGAAUUUUAUAAUAAUUUUAAAUAUUUUAAUGGGGUUAAUAAAGAAAAUGAGUGUCAAGAGGUAUUUAGAAAUGGUGCCAAUAGUUCCACUCUUAUUUGAAAUGCUUUAGAAAUAAACAUCAUUAUCUACGAGAAUAAUACAAAUUGAUUUCUAGGAAUAAUUUUACAGGGUUUUGAUUUUAUUUAUUUUUUGAUAAAUCAUACGGGUUUGGACUAAAUUCACUACAAUUAGAAAACCAGAAAGUCAUUCCUUCUAUGAAUUUUGAACUUUUUAUUUUUUCUUUCAGGAGUAUGUGAGUUGAAGAAUCUUUUUGAGUUGAAUCUUCAAGGAAAUAAUGUUGAGGGUCAUCUUCUUUCUAAUUAGUAAACUUCCCUCAUGCUAUCGAAGUUUAAAACAAUAACAAAAAGAGGCUAACUGAAGGAGCAAUGUGACCAUUUACUUUAAUACAAAUUGAUUAUCCAACAUGUAUGUGCAAACUAAACCUAAACAAUUUUUAUAUUAAAAUGUCAAUUUUGCCUUUGGAUAAUUUUUUUUUCCAUAACAGCUUAAACUAUAGAAGAAACAUAAUAUUAAAAAUUAACAAGGAACCACCAACUAAAAGGUAAAAGUAAUUUUAUGAAAGAUGAAAAUGUUAAAUGUACAAAACUACAAAUGUCACCAAUUUAGAAUUUGAAUCUUUUUAUAAAUUUUGACCCUUUUAUUUUUUACUUCUCAGGAAUAUGUGAGUUGAAGAAUCUUUUUGAACUGAAUCUUAGAGGAAAUAACUUUGAAGGUCAUCUUCUUCGGUGUCUAAACAACCUCACCCACCUCAAAGUUCUUGAUAUUUCUUCCAAUCAGUUAAGUGGAAUCUUACCUUCAGUAAUUGCAAACCUCACAUCCCUUGAAUAUUUGGCUCUGUCUGACAACAAAUUUAAAGGGCGCUUGUUUUCAUUCUGUUCAUUAGCCAACCUCUCGAAACUUGAGGUCUUCCAACUAUCGAUGGAAUCCGAUUUGUUACAAGUCGAAACAGAAAACUGCCUCCCUACGUUUCAACUGAAAGUCCUCAGUUUAACCAACUGCAACUUAGGUGUCAUUCCAAAAUUUCUUCUACACCAAUUUAACUUAAAAUACCUUGAUCUCUCUCACAAUAAGUUGGUUGGCAAUUUCCCAACUUGGUUGUUGGGAAACAACACAAAAUUGGAAGUUUUGUACUUGAUUAACAACUCAUUCUCAAGGUUUCAACUGACCAGUGCCCAACAUGGUUUGCAUAGUUUAGAUAUUUCUAGAAACAGUUUCAGUGGUAAGCUCCCGCAGAAUAUGGGUAUUGUCCUUCCUAAAUUGGUCUAUAUGAAUAUAUCGAAAAAUAGUUUUGAAGGCAAUAUUCCCUCUUCUAUUGGCAAGAUGCAAGGGCUUCGUUUACUGGACGUGUCUAGUAACAAUUUUGCAGGAGAAUUAUCCCAAUCUCUAGUUAUUAAUUGCUUCUCGCUAGAAUGGUUGGACUUGUCAAAUAAUAAUUUCGUCGGGCAGAUUUUUCCCAAUUACAUGAACUUGACUCGAUUAUGGGCGUUAUAUUUGUACAACAAUAAUUUCAGUGGGAAGAUUAAAGAUGGAUUGUUAAGGUCCACUGAAUUAAUGGUCUUAGAUAUAUCCAACAACCGCUUGUCUGGUCAUAUUCCUUCUUGGAUGGGCAAUUUCUCAACUCUUCAAAUUCUGUCAAUGUCCAAAAAUCUUUUGGAAGGUAAUAUUCCAGUCCAAUUCAACAAUCUUGCAAGUCUUCAAAUUCUGAAUAUCUCCGAAAAUAAUUUGUCCGGAUCCAUGAUAUCUACCCUGAAUCUUUCAUCAGUGGAGCACCUUUAUUUGCAAAAUAAUGCUCUUGGUGGGUCAAUUCCAAAUACAUUUUUCAGAGGCUCUGCAUUGGAGACUUUAGAUUUAAGGGAUAAUUAUUUUUUUGGUAGAAUUCCACAUCAGAUCAAUGAGCAUUCAAAUUUGCGUACUCUUCUUUUGAGAGGGAAUUAUCUACAAGGACCUAUUCCUCAUCAAUUGUGUCAUUUGCGAAAAUUAGGCAUCAUGGAUAUCUCACACAACAGGCUUAAUGGUUCAAUACCUGCAUGCAUUACUAAUAUGUUGUUUUCGAGGGUAGAAAAUGGAUAUUUGUAUGGGUUUGAUU